CCAGACUCCUACGGGAGGCAGCAGUGGGGAAUAUUGCACAAUGGGGGGAACCCUGAUGCAGCGACGCCGCGUGAAGGAAGAAGUAUCUCGGUAUGUAAACUUCUAUCAGCAGGGAAGAAAGAGGACGGUACCUGACUAAGAAGCCCCGGCUAACUACGUGCCAGCAGCCGCGGUAAUACGUAGGGGGCAAGCGUUAUCCGGAAUCACUGGGUGUAAAGGGAGCGUAGACGGCUGUGCAAGCCUGAAGUGAAAACCCAGGGCUCAACCUUGGGAGUGCUUUUGAAACUGAGUAGCUAGAGUGCAGGAGAGGUAAGCGGAAUUCCUAGUGUAGCGGUGAAAUGCGUAGAUAUUAGGAGGAACACCAGUGGCGAAGGCGGCUUACGGGACUGUAACUGACGUUGAGGCUCGAAAGCGUGGGGAGCAAACAGGAUUAGAUACCCGAGUAA
rnacentral:rRNA from 1 species